rnacentral:tRNA from 1 species
GAAAUAUGAAAUCCAAGAUAAAGCUUCUAACUUUUUUCUUUAGCGGUGAAACUCCGUUAAUAUUUCU